rnacentral:rRNA from 1 species
UACAGAGGUCUCGAGCGUUGUUCGGAUUCAUUGGGCGUAAAGGGUGCGUAGGCGGCGAGGUAAGUCGGAUGUGAAAUCCCGGGGCUCAACCCCGGAACUGCAUUCGAUACUGCCGUGCUUGAGGACUGGAGAGGAGACUGGAAUUUACGGUGUAGCGGUGAAAUGCGUAGAUAUCGUAAGGAAGACCAGUGGCGAAGGCGGGUCUCUGGACAGUUCCUGACGCUGAGGCACGAAGGUCAGGGGAGCAAACGGG